CUGUGUAGUAGGUGUCUUCCUUCGCUGUUGCUCUACUAAAAUAGAAUGGAAAAGGACUCUGAACUACAGCGAAGGUGUCUUCGAAGGCUAAGAAGUCCAAGGUGAAGGUGCCAGCGGAUUCAGUGUCUGGUGAGGGCCUGCUUCCUGGUUCACAGACUGCUGUUUUUUUGCUGUGUUCUCCAUGGCAGAAAAGGUCCUGAAGGGCCUGGGAAAUGCAGGGCUGGUGAUGGAAACCCUUCCAAAUUCAGCUUGGAUCAGAGAACUAGAGGAAGCAAGGAUGCACAAAAAAAUUUCCCAGAAAAGCCAUACCUGUCAGGAUCACUGGUCUCUGUGACAGCAAAGAAAGGGCCUUUGCAAGGUUUAAAGCCCAAAAGAAGACCCUGGAGUCUCCUACCAUCCAUGAAACUGCCCGUAAAUUGCUGGUCCAGGAAAAACUAUGUCACUAAACAAUAAGUAUUCAAGAAAGACUGUAGCGCAGCAUCAAUACAAAGAUUUUAUAAGAAACAAUUCGAUAAAGCUGGAAAAAUGGAUAAAUGCAUGAAAACAUUCACAAGAAGGAUGAUGUCACAGAACUAGCGAGAAUGCUGAUCAUAUCAUAUAUCCACCACAAGGUAAAGUUUUUAGUGAAAUGAUCACCUCUGUAUAGGAAAAUCACAAAACACACAUGUAGGAACUCAUGUGUUAGUAAGUUUUUUCUUUGGCAUUUUGGCUGAACUAACUUUGGACUGAAAAUGUAUUUCUUAUUCACAGAACAUAAAAAUAUUCUUGUGUUUAACAUUUUUUUCAUCUGAGUCCAUUUUUUGCUUUUCAUUCAUCUGAAAGUUUCUAUGUAAUAUGACUCGAAGUAGGAAUAUAACAAUGUUUUCUAUUUAUUAGUUGUCUCAGUAUCAUUGAAUAAACCUUCCUUUCCCUACUUAUUAAAGAUUCUGCUUUAAU